rnacentral:rRNA from 1 species
GAUGAACGCUAGCGGCAGGCUUAAUACAUGCAAGUCGAGGGGUAGCAAGAUUGUAGCAAUACAAUUGUUGACGACCGGCAAACGGGUGCGGAACACGUACACAACCUUCCUACAAGUGGGGAAUAGCCCAGAGAAAUUUGGAUUAAUACCCCGUAACAUAGCGAUGUGGCAUCACAUUGCUAUUAUAGCUUCGGCGCUUGUUGAUGGGUGUGCGGCUGAUUAGAUAGUUGGCGGGGUAACGGCCCACCAAGUCUACGAUCAGUAGCUGAUGGGAGAGCAUGAUCAGCCAAACGGGCACUGAGACACGGGCCCGACACCUACGGGAGCCAGCAGUAAGGAAUAUUGGACAAUGGACGCAAGUCUGAUCCAGCCAUGCCGCGUGAAGGAUUAAGGUCCUCUGGAUUGUAAACUUCUUUUAUAAGGGACGAAAAAAGGUCUUUCUAGAUCGUCUGACGGUACCUUAUGAAUAAGCACCGGCUAACUCCGUGCCAGCCGCCGCCGUAAUAC